AGUUGUUUUUGUUGUUUAACACCAGGUCACCAGGUCAGCUAUGUUGAAGCUUAGCUCUCAUCGAAGGAGUCCAGCUGUGACCAUCUUGCGUUUUCUUUUUAUAAUUUCUUUCCAGAUAUAGUGUAUCUAAAACUAUAUUAUCCAACGUGCUAUUAGAAUUUAAAAAAACAAAACAGAGAUAGGAUGGCUGAUAUGCCUUGGAACAACUCAAGCUUUGUGAGUGGAUUUGGAAGAUGCAAACUGAAAGACGCCUGUUGUAUGUAUAUGUGUGUAUUUACACACACACAGACAUGGCUGCAGAGACAAGAAGUAUGUUUCACAACCACAAGGUUUUGGAAUUGGUCCCACAGCAAAGAACCCUGGAGUAAGAGGACAAGGAAGACUGACAAUUUGUUUGAUGAAGAAGCAGAUGUCUAGGCAAGUAUAAUAUAUCAAUUUGAAAGACUGGUUGGAAUUUCAACCCAAUAAAUUAAGAUAGAAUGAAAUAAGCUAUUUAUAACUCUUAUCAAAAGUAGUUCCACCUUUUCAUGAAGAUGUUAGCAUGACCAUCAUUGUGAAUCAGGUCCUUGCUGAUUUAUCUCCCCUAAAAU